UACGUAGGGUGCAAGCGUUAUCCGGAAUUAUUGGGCGUAAAGAGCUCGUAGGCGGUUUGUCGCGUCUGCUGUGAAAACCCGAGGCUCAACCUCGGGCCUGCAGUGGGUACGGGCAGACUAGAGUGCGGUAGGGGAGAUUGGAAUUCCUGGUGUAGCGGUGGAAUGCGCAGAUAUCAGGAGGAACACCGAUGGCGGAGGCAGAUCUCUGGGCCGUAACUGACGCUGAGGAGCGAAAGCGUGGGGAGCGAACAGG
rnacentral:rRNA from 1 species